CCUACGGGGGGCUGCAGUAGGGAAUCUUUCACAAUGGGCGAAAGCCUGAUGGAGCAACGCCGCGUGCAGGAUGAAGGCCUUCGGGUUGUAAACUGCUUUUAUAAGCGAGAAAUAUGAUGGUAACUUAUGAAUAAGGCUCGGCUAACUACGUUCCAGCAGCCGCGGUCAUACGUAGGAUCCGAGCAUUAUCCGGAGUGACUGGGUGUAAAGAGUUGCGUAGGUGGCAUAAUAAGUAGCUAGUGAAAUCUGGUGGCUCAACCAUUCAGACUAUUAGCUAAACUGUUAAGCUCGAGACCGUUAGGGGUAACUGGAAUUUCUAGUGUAGGAGUGAAAUCCGUAGAUAUUAGAAGGAACACCAAUAGCGUAGGCAGGUUGCUGGGACGGUUCUGACACUAAGGCACGAAAGCGUAGGGAGCAAACGGGAUUAGAUACCCGUGUAGUC
rnacentral:rRNA from 1 species